rnacentral:sRNA from 1 species
UUAACAAAUGUGGAAGCUGAAGUCCACAAUCCACAGAACACAAAUACUCCAUGAUGUCAUCAAAGUAAUGUUCCACAUAUUGCCCCACCAAAGUGCCACAUCCCUGACCCAGACAGACCAUCUCUAGGGGUAAGACUUUAGCCUCCAGGUUCAUUUUGUCCUCAGGCUUUC